rnacentral:rRNA from 1 species
GACGAACGCUGGCGGCGUGCUUAACACAUGCAAGUCGAACGGAAAGGCCCUGCUUUUGUGGGGUGCUCGAGUGGCGAACGGGUGAGUAACACGUGAGUAACCUGCCCUUGACUUUGGGAUAACUUCAGGAAACUGGGGCUAAUACCGGAUAGGAGCUCCUGCUGCAUGGUGGGGGUUGGAACGUUUCGGCGGUUGGGGAUGGACUCGCGGCUUAUCAGCUUGUUGGUGGGGUAGGGGCUUACCAAGGCUUUGACGGGUAGCCGGCCUGAGAGGGUGACCGGCCACAUUGGGACUGAGAUACGGCCCAGACUCCUACGGGAGGCAGCAGGGGGGAAUAUUGCACAAUGGGCGGAAGCCUGAUGCAGCAACGCCGCGUGCGGGAUGACGGCCUUCGGGUUGUAAACCGCUUUCGCCUGUGACGAAGCGUGAGUGACGGUAAUGGGUAAAGAAGCACCGGCUAACUACGUG